rnacentral:rRNA from 1 species
AAACCAACAGGGAUUGCCCCAGUAGCGGCGAGUGAAGCGGCAAAAGCUCAGAUUUGGAAUCGCUUCGGCGAGUUGUGAAUUGCAGGUUGGCGCCUCUGCGGCGGCGGCGGUCCAAGUCCCUUGGAACAGGGCGCCAUUGAGGGUGAGAGCCCCGUGGGACCGUUUGCCUACGCUCUGAGGCCCUUCUGACGAGUCGAGUUGUUUGGGAAUGCAGCUCUAAGCGGGUGGUAAAUUCCAUCUAAGGCUAAAUACUGGCGAGAGACCGAUAGCGAACAAGUACUGUGAAGGAAAGAUGAAAAGCACUUUGAAAAGAGAGUGAAACAGCACGUGAAAUUGUUGAAAGGGAAGGGUAUUGCGCCCGACAUGGAGCGUGCGCACCGCUGCCCCUCGUGGGCGGCGCUCUGGGCGUGCUCUGGGCCAGCAUCGGUUUUUGCCGCGGGAGAAGGGCGGCGGGCAUGUAGCUCUUCGGAGUGUUAUAGCCUGCCGCCGGCGCCGCGAGCGGGGACCGAGGACUGCGACUUUUGUCUCGGAUGCUGGCACAACGGCGCAACACCGCCCGUCUUGAAACAUGGACCAAGGAGUCUAACGUCUAUGCGAGUGUUUGGGUGUGAAACCCCGGGCGCGUAAUGAAAGUGAACGUAGGUCGGACCGCUCCUCUCGGGGGGCGGGCACGAUCGACCGAUCCUGAUGUCUUCGGAUGGAUUUGAGUAAGAGCAUAGCUGUUGGGACCCGAAAGAUGGUGAACUAUGCCUGAAUAGGGUGAAGCCAGAGGAAACUCUGGUGGAGGCUCGUAGCGGUU